rnacentral:rRNA from 1 species
GUACCCGCUGAACUUAAGCAUAUCAAUAAGCGGAGGAAAAGAAACCAACAGGGAUUGCCCCAGUAACGGCGAGUGAAGCGGCAACAGCUCAAAUUUGAAAUCUGGCUCUCGGGCCCGAGUUGUAAUUUGUAGAGGAUGCUUCGGGCUCGGCGCCUUCCGAGUCCCCUGGAACGGGGCGCCACAGAGGGUGAGAGCCCCGUACGGUUGGACGCCUGGCCCGUGUGAAGCUCCUUCAACGAGUCGAGUAGUUUGGGAAUGCUGCUCAAAAUGGGAGGUAAGUUCCUUCUAAAGCUAAAUACCGGCCAGAGACCGAUAGCGCACAAGUAGAGUGAUCGAAAGAUGAAAAGCACUUUGAAAAGAGGGUUAAAUAGCACGUGAAAUUGCUGAAAGGGAAGCGCUCGUGACCAGACGCGCGCCGGGCGGAUCAUCCAGCGUUCUCGCUGGUGCACUCCGCCCGGCGCGGGCCAGCGUCGGUUCUCGCGGGGGGGCAAAGGCGCCGGGAACGUAGCUCCUCCGGGAGUGUUUAUAGCCCGCGCUCACGCCCCCGCGGGGACCGAGGUCCGCGCCCUGCAAGGACGCUGGCGUAAUGGUCACCGGCGACCCGUCUUGAAACACGGACCAAGGAGUCAAGGUUUUGCGCGAGUGUUUGGGUGGCAAGCCCGCACGCGUAAUGAAAGUGAACGCAGGUGGGAGCUCCGGCGCACCACCGACCGAUCCUGAUGUUCUCGGAUGGAUUUGAGUAAGAGCGCAGUGCCUUGGACCCGAAAGAUGGUGAACUAUGCCUGUAUAGGGUGAAGCCAGAGGAAACUCUGGUGGAGGCUCGCAGCGGUUCUGACGUGCAAAUCGAUCGUCAAAUAUGGGCAUGGGGGCGAAAGACUAAUCGAACCAUCUAGUAGCUGGUUACCGCCGAAGUUUCCCUCAGGAUAGCAGUGUUGAUCUUCAGUUUUAUGAGGUAAAGCGAAUGAUUAGGGACUCGGGGGCGCUAUUUAGCCUUCAUCCAUUCUCAAACUUUAAAUAUGUAAGAAGCCCUUGUUACUUGGCUGAACGUGGGCAUUCGAAUGCAGCAACACUAGUGGGCCAUUUUUGGUAAGCAGAACUGGCG